ACUAUUUUAUUAGGCAUGAAUGUUUAAUAUUUGCUGCUUUCAUCCAAAACAAACCAUUUACGAAUGAGAUUUCGCGAGAAGUGACACGAAAAAAUAAAAAAGUUUCUCGGAAGUUACUAGUUUAUGAAGUUUGUGCUGGCAUUCACAUUUGCACUUAAUAAUUCACGGUAGCCUCCAGAUCACUAUCUAAUUUCUUCGCGCAAACGUCGUUAUCUGGCAUCUUUGAUUCCGGCGGGGCUGAGGUAAAAUUCGAUCUCGUUUAAUGUUAAUUAUUAUGAAUUUGUGUACACUCCGAUCGACAGAGCGAUUUACAUUAGUGAGGUUGCAAGGGGCUUGUUACCUUAGGGUCGUUGUUGUGUAGACUAAAGCUAAAGCAAACUAUUUCAGGUAUAGGUGGAUAAUAAAUAAGGUCGACAUUCGUCAAUAUUUGAAAGAUGACAUGGCCGAGAUUGUGUACGGAUCUGUAUCGAAAUACGGUUUCGGUCUGCGAGGGUAUUUAUUUGAUUUAUACCCAUUUCCUAGCGGAGAAAACAUGAAUCAUACGUGGUUAGAAAAUGAGAUCUUACUUAUUCUACACUACAUAAUACCCUGGAAGAGCAUUUACGUGUUUCACCCUAUCCGUACUUCACUGGGAAGACAUUUCAAAGCCCAAGUGCCACAAGGAGCUCCAUUAGCGAAGCGAAAAACGCUCAAUGAUUGCACGGACCUAACAAAUCGGCAAACUUUGAAUCCUAUCCAUAAUGAAACUGAAAAAAGAAGAAAUAUCGUCCGACUUUUCCUGAUAAAUGGUUUGACUUUUGUUCUGAUUACUACUGGCCGAGCCACAAAGGACUCCUGGAAAUAAGAUAUGGCAAAGAUUUGUUCCCGAUCGCAUCAUAUUUAUCAAUGAAAAUUUUUACAGGGCGACUAAAUGACCCGAAAAUACUUCACUACUUUGCUCUCUUUAUGAAAUUAUACGAGAAAAAACGGAGCAGACAAUAAAUCACAGUGUCCCAGGUCUUUCGCCACUGUUGUGUCUAUAAACAAAAUGUUAUGAAUUAAUUAUUCAACCUCUGUAAGAUAUUCUUGUUUGUAAACUACUGUUACAACAUAAAUUACGCAUGUUAAAGAGCUUACCGAACACUUUGAUGGCUUGUACCUACGCUAAUAAAACUUGCAUAGUGUCAUUUGAUUCGUUCA